GGGGGUAUACCUCAGUUUUAGAGCUUUCGACUGCAGAUCGAGAGGUCCCUGGUUCAAAUCCGGGUGUCCUCU